AGCUUUGUGCAGUGGCAGUAUCGUAGCCAAUGAGGUUUAUCCGAGGUGCGAUUAUUGCUAAUUGAAAAAAAACUACAAUACAAAGUAAAUAAAACAUAGGUUUAAGAAAAAAUAAUGAAGAUAACCAUUAU
rnacentral:snRNA from 1 species